UAGAGCUAAAUUAUCAGGAGAUAAUGGGAUAUCUCUGGUUCAAUUCAAUGGCCUUAGGCCAGGGGACAAUAUGCAAACUGGUUCGAGGAGGCCGAGGUCAAGUUGGCUCUCAUUUCUACUCAGGGUGAAACUUCUGUCUUCUUGAGUCUGAGAGCUGUUAUAGUUGGUAUUGGGGACAGCAAUAUGUUCUUUUCGCCCUCCACUUUGUCUCCUAUUAAAUCAUAAUAAAGCACGGUUUUUUUCUGUUCUUCUUUCUUAGCUCCAAAAUGCAGGGCAGUCAAGGCCAUGGCUUCAGCAGCUUCAGCUACCAAACGAGAAAAAGAUCCCAAAAAACGUGUUAUCAUAACGGGAUUGGGCCUUGUAUCGAUUUUUGGCAGUGAGAUCGAUACAUUCUGUAACAAACUUUUGGAGGGAGAGAGUGGGAUUCACCUAAUUGACAGGUUUGAUGCUUCGAAAUACUCCAUCCGGUUUGCAAGUCGGAUUCAUGAUUUCUCUUCUGAAGGCUACAUUGAUAGGAAGAAUGAUCGCCGGCUUGAUGAUUCCUGGCGGUACUGUUUAGUUGCUGGGGAGAGGGCCCUUGAAGAUGCCAAUCUUGGAACUGAAGUUAUCAAAAAGUCGGUCAGAUUUCAUAAGCAGCACAUUGUGGA